GGUACUCAGUUCGGAUUNAAGGCUGAAAUUCGCCUUCAUGAAGCCGGAAUUGCUAGUAAUCGCGAAUCAGAAUGUCGCGGUGAAUACGUUCCCGGGUCUUGUACACACCGCCCGUCACACCAUGGGAGUCGGGAAUGCCCGAAGUCAGUGACCCAACCUAUUGGAGGGAGCUGCCGAAGGCAGGUCUGAUAACUGGGGUGAAGUCGUAACAAGGUACC
rnacentral:rRNA from 1 species